AAUAAGUUUAUUUGUGGAUUUCUCUGUGUGUAACAUUUGGCCGUCCGUCUUAUUUAAAUUUUUUUUAUGAUUAGUAUUUUUAUUAUUAUUAGAUGUGAAAAUAUGAAUAGUACUUUAUACAUGACUUGUUUUUAUUAUUUUUUUCAUAAAAUUUUCAAAUAUGACGGACGGUUAAACGUUGAACACAAAAACCCAUAAAUAAACUUAUU
rfam:Oryza meridionalis cultivar OR44 (W2112) chromosome 12, whole genome shotgun sequence.